AGGGUUCGAUUAUGGCUCAGGAUGAACGCUAGCGGCAGGCCUUAUACAUGCAAGUCGAACGGUAACAUUGGUGCUUGCACCAGAUGACGAGUGGCGCACGGGUGCGUAACGCGUAUGCAACCUACCUUUUACUAGAGUAUAGCCCAGAGAAAUUUGGAUUAAUCCUCUAUAACAUCUUUUAAUUUCAUGAUUAAUUGAUUAAAGUUUUAACGGUAAAAGAUGGGCAUGCGUCCUAUUAGUUUGUAGGUGAGGUAACGGCUCACCUAGACUACGAUAGGUAGGGGCCCUGAGAGGGGGAUCCCCCACACUGGUACUGAGACACGGACCAGACUCCUACGGGAGGCAGCAGUAAGGAAUAUUGGGCAAUGGACGAAAGUCUGAUCCAGCCAUGCCGCGUGCAGGAUGAAAGCCCUAUGGGUUGUAAACUGCUUUUAUACAGGAAGAAACACUCCGACGUGUCGGAGCUUGACGGUACUGUAAGAAUAAGGAUCGGCUAACUCCGUGCCAGCCGCCGCG
rnacentral:rRNA from 1 species